CUGCUCACUGCCAGCUCUCUGUGAGUCUCUCUGCUCUCUGGAUCCUUCUCUGUGUAUUUUGCUGCCCAAAGCCCCAAGAGACAGCAUCUGUUUGGCUGGACAGACCCUGGGCGCUGUGCCACACUCGAGCCAGGCUACUGACAACUACCCUGGGUCAAAUCUUUGAGGCUGGCCUCCCCAGCUAUGGCCAGAGCAGCGGGGUUGCGUGGAGGUGCUGGCCCUCCUCAGGGCAGCAGUGUGGCAGAGUCCUCGGCUGUGUGGGGGGAGCAGUCUAAGAACCCUCACAUCCAGGAUCAUUCCAGCGAUUCCCAGCCCUCGGGGCACCCUCAGGCAGCGCCACAGCCAGGCGGGAGGAACAGAGGCUGGCCAGAGCUGAGACACUGCCUCCGACGCAGCUUCCAGUAUGCCUUGCACCAGGGCCCCACCGUGGGACCCAGGUGGCAGCUUUGCUGUUCUCGACAAAUGCAAACCCCAUCCUGUGACACCAGCCAAGGAAGCAGGCACCGCCAACAGCUUGGCGCUCACCAAACCACUUCGUCCAUCUGAAAUGAAUUUGGCAGAAUGACACUCUCUUUCUUGUGAAAUCCAGUCCUGCCUUGGGAUCCACAGAUGCCCCGACAUGUCCUACCUUCCCCGUCCCUUGGUCCCUCAUUCAGUCACUCUACAAGUAUGUUUUGAGCCUUUGUUAGGCACCAAACACUGGUGAUCCUGCUUUGAAUAGAUCAUGUCCCUGUGCUGGGAAAGAUGCGUUCAAUGGAGGAGACAGGGAGCAAACAAACAAACAAACAAACGGUGCUGUGGCUUG
rnacentral:lncRNA from 1 species